GACGAACGCUGGCGGCGUGCUUAACACAUGCAAGUCGAACGGAAAGGCCCUGCUUUUGUGGGGUGCUCGAGUGGCGAACGGGUGAUUAACCCGUGAGUAACCUGCCCUUGACUUUGGGAUAACUUCAGGAAACUUGGGCUCAUACCGGAUAGGAGCUCCUGCUGCAUGGUGGGUGUUGGAAAGUUUCGGCGGUUGGGGAUGGACUCGCGUCUUAUCAGCUUGUUGGUGGGGUAGUGGCUUACCACGGCUUUGACGGGUAGCCGGCCUGAGAGGGUGACCGGCCACAUUGGGACUGAGAUACGGCCCAGACUCCUACGGGAGGCAGCAGUGGGGAAUAUUGCACAAUGGGCGGAAGCCUGAUGCAGCAACGCCGCGUGCGGGAUGACGGCCUUCGGGUUGUAAACCGCUUUCGCCUGUGACGAAGCGUGAGUGACGGUAAUGGGUAAAGAAGCACCGGCUAACUACGUG
rnacentral:rRNA from 1 species